rnacentral:misc_RNA from 1 species
GCAAGAUGGAUCAAUAAGAGG